AUUGAACGCUGGCGGCAUGCCUUACACAUGCAAGUCGAACGGCAGCACGGGAGCAAUCCUGGUGGCGAGUGGCGAACGGGUGAGUAAUAUAUCGGAACGUGCCCAGUCGUGGGGGAUAACGUAGCGAAAGCUACGCUAAUACCGCAUACGAUCUAUGGAUGAAAGCGGGGGAUCGCAAGACCUCGCGCGAUUGGAGCGGCCGAUAUCAGAUUAGGUAGUUGGUGAGGUAAAGGCUCACCAAGCCGACGAUCUGUAGCUGGUCUGAGAGGACGACCAGCCACACUGGGACUGAGACACGGCCUAGACUCCUACGGGAGGCAGCAGUGGGGGAAUUUUUGGGACAAUGGGCGCAAGCCUGAUCAGCAAUGCCGCGUGCAGGAUGAAGGCCU
rnacentral:rRNA from 1 species